rnacentral:rRNA from 1 species
AGUGAACGCUGGCGGUAGGCCUAACACAUGCAAGUCGAACGGCAGCACAGUAAGAGCUUGCUCUUACGGGUGGCGAGUGGCGGACGGGUGAGGAAUACAUCGGAAUCUACUUUUUCGGGGGGGAUAACGUAGGGAAACUUACGCUAAUACCGCAUACGACCUACGGGUGAAAGCAGGGGAUCUUCGGACCUUGCGCGAUUGAAUGAGCCGAUGUCGGAUUAGCUAGUUGGCGGGGUAAAGGCCCACCAAGGCGACGAUCCGUAGCUGGUCUGAGAGGAUGAUCAGACACACUGGAACUGAGACACGGUCCACACUCCUACGGGGGGCAGCAGUGGGGACUAUUGGACAAUGGGCGCAAGCCUAAUCCAGCCAUACCGCGUGAGUGCAGAAGGCCUUCGGGUUGUAAAGCCCUUUUGUUGGGAAAGAAAAGCAGCAGGUUAAUACCCGGCUGUUAUGACGGUACCCAAAGAAUAAGCACCGGCUAACUUCGUG